rnacentral:rRNA from 1 species
GGGUUGUGAGGUUAAGCGACUAAGCGUACACGGUGGAUGCCCUGGCAGUCAGAGGCGAUGAAGGGCGUGCUAAUCUGCGAUAAGCGCCGGUAAGGUGAUAUGAACCGUUAUAACCGGCGAUACCCGAAUGGGGAAACCCAGUGUGACUCGUCACACUAUCAUUAACUGAAUCCAUAGGUUAAUGAGGCGAACCGGGGGAACUGAAACAUCUAAGUACCCCGAGGAAAAGAAAUCAACCGAGAUUCCCCCAGUAGCGGCGAGCGAACGGGGAGGAGCCCAGAGCCUGAAUCAGCAUGUGUGUUAGUGGAAGCGUCUGGAAAGGCGCGCGAUACAGGGUGACAGCCCCGUACACAAAAGCGCAUGUGCUGUGAGCUCGAUGAGUAGGGCGGGACACGUGGUAUCCUGUCUGAAUAUGGGGGGACCAUCCUCCAAGGCUAAAUACUCCUGACUGACCGAUAGUGAACCAGUACCGUGAGGGAAAGGCGAAAAGAACCCCGGCGAGGGGAGUGAAAAAGAACCUGAAACCGUGUACGUACAAGCAGUGGGAGCCCCACCACCAAAGCAUUCUCUGGUGUUGAAGGCCCUGCAAAGCAGCAUCGCGGUGGCGGAGCGUCGUUUGCGACGCCCAACACACAAAACAAGCGGUGAAUGCUUUGGGGUGGGGUGACUGCGUACCUUUUGUAUAAUGGGUCAGCGACUUAUAUUCUGUAGCAAGGUUAACCGAAUAGGGGAGCCGGAGGGAAACCGAGUCUUAAU